AGUGAACGCUGGCGGUAGGCCUAACACAUGCAAGUCGAACGGCAGCACAGUAAGAGCUUGCUCCUACGGGUGGCGAGUGGCGGACGGGUGAGGAAUACAUCGGAAUCUACUUUUUCGUGGGGGAUAACGUAGGGAAACUUACGCUAAUACCGCAUACGACCUACGGGUGAAAGCAGGGGAUCUUCGGACCUUGCGCGAUUGAAUGAGCCGAUGUCGGAUUAGCUAGUUGGCGGGGUAAAGGCCCACCAAGGCGACGAUCCGUAGCUGGUCUGAGAGGAUGAUCAGCCACACUGGAACUGAGACACGGUCCAGACUCCUACGGGAGGCAGCAGUGGGGAAUAUUGGACAAUGGGCGCAAGCCUGAUCCAGCCAUACCGCGUGGGUGAAGAAGGCCUUCGGGUUGUAAAGCCCUUUUGUUGGGAAAGAAAAGCAGCAGGUUAAUACCCCGCUGUUCUGACGGUACCCAAAGAAUAAACACCGGCUAACUUCGU
rnacentral:rRNA from 1 species